ensembl:lncRNA
CCGGGAGGUGCUCUCCAGCCCUCGCCGUGCUGUGACCCCACGCAGCCCUGCGCGGCCUCCGUGCCGCGGCAGCCAGCAGUCGCUCCAGCACCGCUUUCAUUCCCCAUCCGUAAACACGGCGGUGCGGGCGCUGCUCCAGGUGCGGUUCGGGCAGCGCCGCUGCGGGGGCUGCACCUCGCGCCGGGUGGGGCUGCAGCUGGGGGCUGUAAUUGCCGCAGCCACCGACUUUCAUCCACCUCUGUGCGUGAGUCAGAGCCCCCCGGGGCUCCGGUUGGGAGUUUGGGUUCGCUAUAUAUAGUCAGUGGGGCCACCGGGAGGCAAGCGAGGAGCCUGCCCCUCCCCCCGGGUACCGAAGGUGGGGAGAAAUCCCUCGAGAUGGGGAGUUAAGGAAACCCGUUCUGCCGAGCGCAGAGCCCAUCUGUGGUCGCUGCUGCAGUUCAUCUGCGGCGGAGGCACCGUCUCAGCCACAUGAAUUCGCCUGGAGAAGACGCCCGGCUGCGGCUGCCGGGUGGUUCUGUGGGGCUCCAGGCGUCCUGUGGGACUUUAUGGGGCUCUUCCAAGUGGUUCGGUGGGGCUCCGGGCAUCCUAUGGGGCGCAGGCAUCAUGCUCACCCCAAUGGGGCUCUUCCGAGGGGUUGUAUGGGCACCACACAUCGAGCUCACCGCAGUGGGUGUCCUGGCACCUAAUGGCCACUCUGCCCUCUGCAUCGCUCCCCGUGUUUGAGCUCCUCCACCAGCAGUGUCCUGAGCAGACCCACGGAGCCAUGGGGCGUAUGGGGCUGGAGCUCAGUGCAGCAGCAGUGAGGAGCCACAUCAGCCCUGCUGGGGAGACGGCUGCGAGUCGGGGCUCCGUCUGCGCCGGCCCUAUGAGCAGCACUCGGCCGAACGCUGCGAUGCAGCAACGCCCCGGCACACAUGUUCGUGGUUUUGAGGGCUAAAUUGGACCUUGAGAAUUAGCAGCCUUGUAAGUCAAUAACAACACGUCCUAAUGAGUGCAAGAUGUCCCCAGGAAACGAGGGCUCCUGCUCCCAGCUGGGAUCCUGCGACUGGGAGAGGACCAGUAAACAAGAAGGAAUGCUCCAUCCGGAGAUGAGCAGGAGAUACGAAGCCGACAUCUAGAUUGCCAACUCGCCCCGAACGUGGGCGGUGGGGGCAGCAGCGUUGUGAAAGGCGGCCCUGCGCCGGUGCCCCCCGCAUCUCCCCUGGGUGGAGCAGCCUUUGCAAACCGCCCAUUGGAUGCCACGUUUCCCCCUCGCCAUCCCCUGGAAUGCGGCCGCUCCCCGGAGCCGUCCCGCUGAGCCGCGGCGUCGCUGCUGCUUGCGUAAGGGUGAGGGCUGCGCUUCCCUCCUCUCCCCGCUCCGGGAUGGCGGGUGUUGGGCACUCAGCAAACGCUUCGUGUCCCCGCCGAGCCCUGCAGGCCAGCUGCCUCCAGCCCAGCGUGUGACAGCGUGCUGCACGAGGGCUCGUGGCCCCCCAGCUCCCCUCUGCUCCGUGAUCCCAUCAGAGCGCUGCUGGGCUCUGCCCGCCGUGCCUCCGUCGCACCAAAGGGGGGUCAGGUUGGGCGGUGGGAACAGCUGAAAGGUGGCGGUGUGUCGGCGCAGGGAGCGCUGGGGGUCCCUGGAGGUGUUUGAGGGACGUGGGGGUGGGGGUCUCGGAGACAUGGAUGGGUUGAGGUUGGAGAUCUCAGAGGUCUUCUCCAAUCUUAAUGGUUGGAGAGGAACGGUUCUGUUUUGGGUCACGGCGGGAUGGGUUGGGGUUGGAGAUGGGGGUUGUGGAGGUCUCCUCCAACCCUAUUGAUUCUAUGGUUCUAUUUGGGGUCACGGCGGGAUGGGUUGGGGUUGGACGAGAGGGCCAUGGAGCUGCUCUCCAACCUCAGUGAUUCUGUGGCUCCAUGUGGGGUCGCGGUGGGAUGGGGUGGGGUUGGUGGGCUCGGAGGUCUCCCCCCACCUCAGUAACUACGAUUCUCCCUCGUGGCAGCGCCAGAGCUGCUCGGAAACGGAUCCCUCCGCCACCCAUGUUGGUGCUCACACUGCGUCCCCCCCCGGCACGCGGCCCCCUCCCGUUGGGUGCCAUCAGAACAGCCGACACCCCAAACUCACAGCCGGCCUUUCCCUGGAGAUGGGCCGUGGCCGCAGCUGUGCCGUCCGACCGGCCGCGCUCAGAGCGCCCAGCAGCUCUCCCAUCUCCCCGCCCGUGGACGCGGCCCCGCGCCGUCCCAUCCGGGAGGGGAGCGCAGAGCAGUGCCCGCGGCGCUCACCCAACGCACGCGCGUGGAAAGGAACCGCUUCGUGUGCAAAAAGAGAGAAAAUAAAAGCUGCCGUUCUGCAGAGGCGAUGGGUGUGUGCGUGUGUGGGCGCUCAGGCUUCGCAGCAGCGACCUCGGACGCCCGGAAAAAUAAAUAAAAAAC